rnacentral:rRNA from 1 species
UACGUAGGGGGCAAGCGUUGUCCGGAAUCAUUGGGCGUAAAGAGCGUGUAGGCGGCUCGGUAAGUCCGCUGUGAAAGUCAGAGGCUCAACCUUUGAAUGCCGCUGGAAACUGUCUGGCUUGAGUCCGGAAGGGGCGAGUGGAAUUCCUGGUGUAGCGGUGAAAUGCGCAGAUAUCAGGAGGAACACCAAUGGCGAAGGCAGCUCGCUGGAACGGUACUGACGCUGAGGCGCGAAAGCGUGGGGAGCAAACAGG